rnacentral:rRNA from 1 species
GAUGAACGCUGGCGGCGUGCCUAAUACAUGCCAGUCGAGCGAACAGACGAGGAGCUUGCUCCUCUGACGUUAGCGGCGGACGGGUGAGUAACACGUGGAUAACCUACCUAUAAGACUGGGAUAACUUCGGGAAACCGGAGCUAAUACCGGAUAAUAUAUUGAACCGCAUGGUUCAAUAGUGAAAGACGGUUUUGCUGCCACUUAUAGAUGGAUCCGCGCCGCAUUAGCUAGUUGGUAAGGUAACGGCUUACCAAGGCGACGAUGCGUAGCCGACCUGAGAGGGUGAUCGGCCACACUGGAACUGAGACACGGUCCAGACUCCUACGGGAGGCAGCAGUAGGGAAUCUUCCGCAGUGGGCGAAAGCCUGACGGAGCAACGCCGCGUGAGUGAUGAAGGUCUUCGGAUCGUAAAACUCUGUUAUUAGGGAAGAACAAAUGUGUAAGUAACUAUGCACGUCUUGACGGUACCUAAUCAGAAAGCCACGGCUAACUACGUG